UACGUAGGGACCAAGCGUUGUCCGGAAUCAUUGGGCGUAAAGCGCGCGCAGGCGGCGGUGUAAGCAUGGCGUGAAAGCCCCAGGCUCAACCUGGGAGGGUCGUCGUGGACUGCACCGCUUGAGGGCGAUAGGGGCUGGUGGAAUGCCUGGUGUAGUGGUGAAAUGCGUAGAGAUCAGGCGGAACACCCGUGGCGAAGGCGGCCAGCUGGGUCGUCCCUGACGCUGAGGCGCGAAGGCGUGGGGAGCGAACGGGG
rnacentral:rRNA from 1 species